AAAUAGAUACCCCAGGUAGUCCAUGCCGUAAACGAUGUCUACUAGCCGUUGGGGCCUUUGAGGCUUUAGUGGCGCAGCUAACGCGAUAAGUAGACCGCCUGGGGAGUACGGUCGCAAGACUAAAACUCAAAUGAAUUGACGGGGGCCCGCACAAGCGGUGGAGCAUGUGGUUUAAUUCGAUGCAACGCGAAGAACCUUACCUGGUCUUGACAUAGUAAGAACUUUCCAGAGAUGGAUUGGUGCCUUCGGGAACUUACAUACAGGUGCUGCAUGGCUGUCGUCAGCUCGUGUCGUGAGAUGUUGGGUUAAGUCCCGCAACGAGCGCAACCCUUUUCCUUAUUUGCCAGCGGGUUAAGCCGGGAACUUUAAGGAUACUGCCAGUGACAAACUGGAGGAAGGCGGGGACGACGUCAAGUCAUCAUGGCCCUUACGACCAGGGCUACACACGUGCUACAAUGGUCGGUACAAAGGGUUGCUACCUAGCGAUAGGAUGCUAAUCUCAAAAAAGCCGAUCGUAGUCCGGAUUGGAGUCUGCAACUCGACU
rnacentral:rRNA from 1 species